rnacentral:rRNA from 1 species
CCUACGGGAGGCAGCAGUGAGGAAUAUUGGUCAAUGGGCGCAAGUCUGAACCAGCCAUGCCGCGUGCAGGAAGACGGCUCUAUGAGUUGUAAACUGCUUUUGUACCAGGGUAAACGCCUAUACGCGUAUCUUUCUGAAAGUAUCGUACGAAUAAGGAUCGGCUAACUCCGUGCCAGCAGCCGCGGUAAUACGGAGGAUUCAAGCGUUAUCCGGAUUUAUUGGGUUUAAAGGGUGCGUAGGCGGUCGUAUAAGUUAGCGGUGAAAUCCGGAUGCUCAACUUCGGGAUUGCCUCUGAUACUGUUGGGCUAGAGAGUAGAUGCGGUAGGCGGAAUGUAUGGUGUAGCGGUGAAAUGCUUAGAGAUCAUACAGAACACCGAUUGCGAAGGCAGCUUACUAAGCUAGUUCUGACGUUGAGGCACGAAAGCGUGGGGAGCGAACAGGAUUAGAUACCCGGGUAGUC